rnacentral:sRNA from 1 species
CGGAGGGAUCAUUACCGAGUUCAUGCCCUUACGGGUAGACCUCCCACCCUAUGUCUAUAUUACCUCUUGUUGCUUUGGCGGGCCGCCCGGCUUCGGCCAGGCUACCGGCUCCAGCUGGUAAGCGCUCGCCAGAGGACCCUCAACUCUAGAAUAUCAGUGUCGUCUGAGUACUAUAAAAUAGUUGAAAACUUUCAACAACUGGAUCUCUUGGUUCUGGCAUCGAUGAAGAACGCAGCGAAAUGCGAUAAGUAAUGUGAAUWGCAGAAUUCAGUGAAUCAUCGAAUCUUUGAACGCACAUUGCGCCCCUUGGUAUUCCGAGGGGCAUGCCUGUUCGAGCGUCAUUACAACCCUCAAGCACUGCUUGGUAUUGGGCUCCGCUGGCUCCAGCGGGCCUUAAAAUCAGUGGCGGCGCCGUUUGGGCUCUGAGCGUAGUAAAUAUCCUCGCUAUAGAGACCAGGCGGUUCUUGUCAUCAACCCCCAACUUUCUUAAGUCUGACCUCGAGAUCARGUACGGGAUACCCGCWGAACUUAAGYAUAUCAAUAAGCGGAGGAA